GUUUAAUUAAGAGAAGCGUGGUAGGAAGGACAUCUGAAGGAAGGUUGGGUUGCACUUGCGCUGCCCUACCUGAAAUCCCAGACUGGUUGCAGCCUGAGCACUGUGCUUCUGCACUGCUGGGAAGGGACGGGUAGACAACGCAGCCACAGCACCUUGGAAAUGAGGUUUCAAGAAGCCAGGCGCACACGAGUGAGCAGCUGCAACAGAGCCUGCACAGACUCCAGCCACCCUGCACCAGCAUCCUGCCUCGAUUCUCCUUCACGAUUAGCAGGGAAGCAUCUUGCUUUAGAGUCUUGCAAAGAGCUUUUCAUCCCAACGGCAACCCACGACUUCCAACAAGUUGGUCAGCCCGGUUCCGUGUGUUUUGUUUCAUAGACGAAGGAUGCGCUGUUUGGAAAGAGGCGGUUUGCUCAGAAAUCCCCAUCUAGAAAGUCAUUUGUUUUCAUCAGAGCUGCUCGAGUGAAACUCAUGGAAAAUUCCCAGGCAGCAGCAGGGCUGGCUCCUGCCUGC
ensembl:lncRNA